GGGACGAACCCGACGUUAGUCCAGAUUUGCCUUCGGCGGACACAGGUAGACAGAGUGGUGCAUGGUUGUCGUCAGCUCGUGUCGUGAGAUGUUGGGUUAAGUCCCGCAACGAGCGCAACCCUUAUUACUAGUUGCCAGCAUUCAGUUGGGCACUCUAGUGAGACUGCCGGUGACAAACCGGAGGAAGGUGGGGAUGACGUCAAAUCAUCAUGCCCCUUAUGACCUGGGCUACACACGUGCUACAAUGGAUGGUACAACGAGUCGCGAAGUCGUGAGGCCAAGCUAAUCUCUUAAAGCCAUUCUCAGUUCGGAUUGUAGGCUGCAACUCGCCUACAUGAAGCCGGAAUCGCUAGUAAUCGCGGAUCAGAACGCCGCGGUGAAUACGUUCCCGGGUCUUG
rnacentral:rRNA from 1 species